rnacentral:lncRNA from 1 species
UGCAGCUCCAAAAACCUUCAGUGCACAAGUACUAAAGGCAGGGAAAGUUCUUGGAGGAAAAGCUUCAAGCAUCUUUGCUGUUCUUAUAUGGUGUAUGUACAUACCAUAGAGAUUUAAUUCCCCUGUAAGCACAGAAGAGAUGCAGAGGUCCCUUCCAAUCUGAAUUACGCAAUCACCCCACGACCUGGUGUUUAUUUGCAGCCCUGGUUGGGAUUCCUCCAUCGCUUCCUUGGCAGUGGAUCAGUCCAGCCCCACAGGGAUAAGCUGGCAUCAAUGCAACAAAGAGUUUUGGUGCAACCCAGUCGCAAGCCCAACCUGUAAGCUUGUCCUGAUGUCAAUUGUAUAGAUCACAUUCUGGUCCCUGGGAUGCUCCACUACAAUUUAAACAGCCUGUGCAUCCUUCCAGCUGCAGUGAUGAGAGGUGAGACCAAAACGGGACCAAGACUGAGCUCCAGUGACAUCAGGGUCCUGGGCAAGCCCUCCCCUCCACCCUGAAGACAUCCUUUGACCAAAAGGAGCCGCGGAGGCUAGGAAAGACACUGACGUCAAUGUAAAAGUAAACCAAAGAGGUCUGGUUCCUGUAUCGCUGUGCCGGGCUGAGCGCCGGAGAGCGAGCACGCUGUCGUUCGGUCGAGGAAUCCGGGAGCAGGAUCAGCAGCUGAGCUUUCUCAUCCGAGCUGUGUAAGUACCGGCGGGGACGUGCAGCGAGGGGGAGAGGGAGGGAGAUUUACCAGCUGCAGCUCGGGAAGGCAGCCCUGGCUGAGCUGAGAGUUUGGAGGCACGCAGAUUGGGAUGGGAGUCCUUGCAAGCUGGGGCAGGAGCAAAAAGCACAUGGGUUUAGGUGCUGUUGGCUCCACGUGCAUGGGGAUGGGGCUGGUGAGGAGCAUCUUCUGACAAGCAUCUCCUAACAAGAAUCUCCUAAUGAGCAUCUCCUGAGGAGCACCUCCUGCACUGGGUGCUGCAGGGGAAGGGGACAGCUGGAGAGUUUUGUGCUGGUGCAAUGGAAGAGGGAGUCUCAUUGGGGGAGAUGUGGGUGAACCAGUUGAGGUGAAAGCCAAAUUUGUGAAAGCCACCUUCUAGCCAGGUACACACGUACAAGGAUGCACACUUAAUGUGUAUAAAGCAGGCUGCAGGCUGUGCUCUCUGAGAGAUUCAGUGUGGAAAAAAAAAAAGAAAGAAAGAAAAAAAAAAGAAAAAAAGAAAAAAUAAUAAUAUUUCUGGUGUAUCUCCCUAUUCUGACUACCUCUAUCGAGUCUAGCUACAUAUGCACGUACACAUCUUGCAGAUGUCCCCAUGUAGGGAUGCAGAGCUAGACACAGAGGUUUUAUACCCAGGUGAAAAAAUGAGAGAGGGCCCAAAAUGAACUUUGCAACAUACCAUUAGGAAGC